rnacentral:SRP_RNA from 2 species
GCCGGGUGUGGUAGUGCACGCCUGUAAUCCCAGCUACUUGGGAAGCUGAGACAGGAGAAUCACUUGAACCUGGGAGGCAGAGGUUGCAGUGAGCUGAGAUUGCACCACUGCACUCCAGCCUGGGUGACAGAGAGAGACCCUGUCUCAA